UACGUAGGGUGCAAGCGUUGUCCGGAUUUAUUGGGCGUAAAGAGCUCGUAGGCGGUUUUGAAAGUCGGGUGUGAAACCUCCAGGCUCAACCUGGAGACGCCACUCGAUACUUCAAUGACUUGAGUUCGGUAGGGGUAAGCGGAAUUCCUGGUGUAGCGGCGAAAUGCGCAGAUAUCAGGAGGAACACCGACGGCGAAGGCAGCUUACUGGGCCGAUACUGACGCUGAGGAGCGAAAGCGUGGGGAGCGAACAGG
rnacentral:rRNA from 1 species